CUCCUCCUCCUCCUCCUUUUUUGCAAACUUCUCCAACAAGAAACAAGGUAAAGGAACCUCAGGCAGAAUAUUUAUAGCUAAAAAAAAAUAUCACACCUAAAAAAAAAAAAAAAAAAAAUAGAUCGAAGUUGCUACGCCAAAAGGAGAGGAGGUUGAGGAGGAGGGAAAAGUACCGGACGAAAGCAGGAGGAGCAGGUAGAGUAUAAAAGGUGGAAGUCCUGAGCAGAGAAGCGUCAUUCCUUCCCGAGUCUUCAAGAACACGAAGCAAGAUGCUGAGUCUUCGCGGUGUGAUGGUGCUGAUGGUGCUGAUGUCGGUGGUGGUCUGCGUCUGUGUGGCCGAGGCGCACCGCUACCGCGGAGGCGGCGGCUAUUAUCGCGGAAGCAACGAACGAGGCAGCUAUGAAAGCUACAGAGGUGGUUACGGCCAUGGCAGCAGGCCUUACUAUGGCGGAGGCGGCGGUUACCCCAGGCCCUACCACUGAUUUCCCUCAUUCCUCCCAGGAUCCUCGCUUCCCCAUGACGGCCAUUUGAAGCACCCUGUCUUGACCUCUUGAUUAAAAAUAUGGCAUGUUUGA